GAAAAAAAAUGUGAGUUUGCCACAAUAUUGUUUAUAUAAUAUGUAGCCUAUCAGUUUUUCUUAGCAGUUCACAUGAGCUCUAUGUUGGCAUAUAAUCUUUGUUGAAGAUUACUGUUACUUUAACAGGAAUAAAAUAAUUAAUUACUUACUUUAAGAAAGAAUAUCACCAUAAGCUGAUUUAUUAUCCCCCCUCGCCCCCUCCCCCAUGGCCACGUAUAUUUUAUGGAAAACCCAAUAGAAUAUCUGAACUACGCUUUCGAAUUGAACAUACAUAUAUUUAGUUCACAUAAAUAUUCACAUUGUCGACUACAAAGUUAUCACGUUUUGUGUUCUGGACUUUCCGGCGCUCUUCGUUCACUUGGAAAAGAACAGACGCAUAGAGUAAGUAAAGUACUAGUACAGAGUGGACACUCAAUGCUAUUGCAGUUCUACGUUUUUUUAUUCAGAAAUGCCCUAGUUGCUAUACAAAAACGCAAACUUGACAAACAUUAAAACAAAGUUGCAAUGGCUUAAAACCGAGAUAAAGUACCUUCUGGAGUAAGACUUACAUUUCAAAUUAUAAGUAAAAUUUAAUUUAAAUACAACAUUGAUCCUAGAAAGUACAAUUUGCAGUUAAUAUGCUUAAAACACUAAUUUGAAUAGUAGGGAAAUUUGCAGUUUCAACUGAAUGUUGGCGAGCUUGUGACUUCUUUCGUGCAUGCAUUAAUAUUUAUAAAAAUAUUGAUUUUAUUUUUUUUUCCCUUAUAACUAAAUAUCGGUAAACGUAACAUAUAAUUAUUUAGGAGAGCAAUAUUUUUAAAACAAUAAGUAAAUUUCUUACCUUCGGGACAGUGUUUGCCUUAACCUCAUUUCGGUUAAAAAUGUUUUGUUUACGUAGCAUAACAUUUGUUAAAAUGCAUAAAAUGUAACAUAUUUUCGGAUUAUAAUAAAUUGCUACCUUUUUUUUAUGUACAAGAAAUAAUUUCUGUUCUAGUAGAAUCACGUUGAUUGAAGUUAAGGUUAGGAUUUUCGUAGGUACCUACCGAAUUGCAUCACAAAUCGCAAACAAAACUAAUGCAUAAAAAAACGUCCAGAAGUAUUUAAUCAUUAACACAGGCAAUGUGUAUUUCUGGCAAAUUUAACUACCUAAGAUGUACCAUUUUAGUACAAAUCUUUCUCGCAUUUUCACUUCUUGAAGACAGGUGUAUAGCAAUUGUUAAGGGGGGGGGGGGAAUCUUAAUUUCAACAUAAAAAUUUAAAAGACACUUCAUUUUAUCGCAACCCUCACCUCGGUAAUUGUUCCGUAUCACGUAUCCAAGUUUAUCCCUUGGUCCUGUUGGCAUGAUUAUGUAUGAUUUAUCCGGUGGCACAUGAUGCUUGCUGUUUUAAUUAAUGUUAAAACAGCAAGCAUCAUUACCACAGGAUCAAUGUAUUCAGGAUCAUGCCAUUAGUAUCAAGGGAUUGACUUGGAUACGCAAUACAAAAUUUUUACCCACACCUCCCUCUCGACCUAAAAAUAAAAUUCAUACAAAAAAUUUAGACUAAUUAAAGUACAUAAGCAACAAGUUUGAGCAGAAUUUGAGACUCAUUAACGUUUAGAACAGUACCUAAGUAUUUAUGUAUUGUGUGCUUGUCCUCAAUGUGCGACUACACACUACCUAAAAAGAGGAAAUUCUGUAGGGCAUGAAAACAAAAUGCUCAUCACUAUUUUAAUUACACAAAAUUUUUAUUUUGUUUCGUUUUAAUGAUUUACACAUACCUAGUUUCGUCAUGCGGAAACUUAAAGUAAAGUUAAUUAUUAUUAUCUCUUCUCUUGUUGUAGUAGCAGUAGUUAACACAACACGUAGCCGAAUCAGGCAUGUUUCAUAACAGUAAUUUAGAACGUAGUUCAUGAAAUCAUUAAUAUUAUUUAACGAGAUUACUAUUUCAACAUGAUUGAAACAAAAUUUCCUUCGAAUUUUUUUAUUAAACCUAAUAUUGCUUAAUUCAACGCCGACGCGACGCCAUUAAUUAUGGAUAAACAAGUGGUUCAACAUGCCAACGAAAACUUGUUAAGUAAAUAUAUUAUUUUCAUUUCAACAAUACCAAUUUAUGCUAUAAAUUUGAUAAAAUGUCAAAACAAAUGUAAUAAUUAUUUAAUCAACGUGGUAUUUUGAUUAUAAUUUUUGUGCUCAGAUGUUGGAUAAAAUUGUAUAGCAACUAGAAAAAUGCGAUUGCCAUGCCCUAUGAAGUGUCCCCCCCCCCCCCCCCUGAACAUACGAGUAAGUGACAACAGCGCGGCUUUCUUAGCCCACUGGCCGCGCCAAGCACCUCCCGGGAAGCCUACAUUUCACAAAGGGUUGAGGACCAACCCGAACAUGCCCGAAGACUUAACCUUCGGUCAACUUCGGGACUUUGUUUUUCUUUUAACAAGACGCGCGGGAAUUUUGAUUAGUGAAGGCCCACCGCCCAUACUUAAGGACAGAGGCUAUUCCUAUCUUGCAGAAUCUCGUCACUGUUCAACUAUGUAACAGAACUUAACUGAAUUCAACAUGUUUCAGGAUAAUUAUAUUUAGGGCGGUAUUCCAAGACGUUUCAGUAAGGUAGCGAAUAUACACUGCCUUGUUGGGCAACUGCCAUACCCUAACUUUCGGGUCAUAUUCCAAAACGUGUCCUAACUGAUCUCCUGUAAGGUAUCAGAUCGGCUGCCGUUUUAAUAAACAAGGACUUGUACCAGGCUAUAAACAGUUGUACUUCGUGGAAUCCAUCGUAAUUUUACCUUAUUUUUUAAAACUAUGGAAUUAUAAUGUGAAAUAAAAUAUUUAAUUUUGGUUGUACAAGAAUAAACGAUGAAUUUUUGGCCGUAUUUAUGUUUGCUGUUUUUUAAGAUAUUAGGGGGGAAAUUGUAAUCGUAUAAGUUACAUUAAAGUUCAUUAAAAAGGAAAAAAAAUAUAUAUACAGUUAUGGAUCAAAUCGGCAACAGAUAGGACACCAAAAAUCAGUGCCCUAAAAAUAAGGGACUGGCCGUGUCCUAUCGUGCACUUGGAAUAUGGUUAGGGUACAGGUAUUGCAUAUUCAACACCUAAACCCUUAUUUUUGUGUCUUGGAAUAUGGCCCUUAGUGUUGUAUCUAUAGCAUGUUUCAAUUUUUUUUCAUGGAAAAUUCAAAAUCAUCUUUAUAUAUUUACAGCUUAAAAUUUUAUUUUCUUUCCGGGAGGGUGCCAGGCUAACUUAUGCAGCUGUUUGGUGGGUCGUCGGCCCCAGCUUUGUUCACUAGGAUCGUGGCGGUGGUUGGAUUACUAACUAGAGAAGUCGUAUCACACUCCUCAGGCAGCAUGGUUGGCUGAUGCCUAACUUAGGUAAGGGGGCACUGGAAAUCACUGUCAAUUUGUUCUCGCAUUUAUUGGCAUGCUAUGCAUUGCGGUGUUAAACUAUGCGUUAUACCUUAUACUUUACCCUGACAAAAGUUUCUGAUUGCUUCGUUAUGUGCUUACGUUACAUCUAACAGCAGUCUUAUUGGGGAUUUGCAUGGAGUCGGCCAUACCCGUAAGUUUUUGAAUUACGACUCGAACAGGCUCUACGAGCCGUGAAUCUACAAGUGCUUUAAUGUCUUUGUUUGGGCCAGCAGACAUAUGCACGGCUACAUUAAAUUAAAACGCUUACCUCUGGAGUCAGCGAGUUCCAUAAUUGUCGACCCUGCGGCGUGGUCACGUGGCAGGGUUAAAUCUAAGGCGGUUGGGAUAAGCCCGGCUCCGCAAAGAUGACCCAGGGAUGUGUGGGUAACGAGAGAAAAAAGAUUUAGAGGUGAGAAAGUCUAUAAAACAUUUACCACAAUAUUUCAAGACAUGUGUGUGAAAAUGCUGAGAGUUAAUAUUGUGGUCAUUCACUAAAAACUGGUUUCAUUAUAUUUGUGAGGUUCAUACUGUGCAGCUAUACUGCAUGACUAUUAAGUAAAUUAUAUAAACAAUUAUUUUAUGCACAAAUUACUACAUUAUGUUUCUCACCAUAAAAGUAAUUGUCCAUAAAGGUACAUACUGAGGUUGUUUAAAACAAUAGCAUGUUAUGAGACUUUGUAGUGUCACCUGAUGGUAUAAUGUAAAGAGGAAAUAUUACUGUGUAAGCUCUGUGUUGGUAAUGCUCAGUAUAGAAAUUCAGUAAUGUAUGAGACAUUUGCAGCCUAGAUUGUCACUAAAGAAUAUUCUUUUUAUGAAAAAAAAAACAUAAAUAUUAAUUUUUUUUUGUGUCCACAGUAAUCUCUUUCCAUUGUAUUAUUUUAUCCGUAACAUUCCUGUAUAAAAAAUCCUAUCAUUGUAGCUUUCCUAAUUGUUCGUUGGUUUACUUGAUAUGUACCAACACUUAUUCGUUGGUUUACUUGAUAUGUACCAACACAGUGGGUGAAUGUAUCUUGAAAGCGAUACCACAUAAAAGGUUACAUGUUACAUUUAAAUUUAUAUGUUCACUUUAUAAAAAAAAUUCAUUUAUGUGCUGUGGAAUGAAAAAAACGAAGACACAUUGAAUAUUUAAACACUAAUAUUUUAAGGCAUAAAAUCUUGCACUUUCUUUCUUGUACAUACUAAUAACUACAAUGUGUUUUAAAGAUAACUGACAUGUCAAAAGGUAAAAUUAUUUAUUAUGAACGUUCAGCAAAAAUCUUUACACUUUUCUUUCCUUUAAAUGACAGCAUUUUUUUUCCAUAUGAAUCACCCAAGUUUGGUAAGUUUUGAAGAUAGACAAUCAUGAAAUAUAAGGUUGUAAAAAAUACUCUUUAUUUCUCCAAAAAAAAAAAAAUUAUUUCACUUUCUUAGUUACUAUCAAUUAACUGGCAAUGAAAUAAAAUUCUAAGUGAAAUAAAAAAAGCACUAUUAUAACAAAAAUUCACAAAAUAAUUCAUUUUCAUUGAAUGUCCAAAGAAUUUAAUCUACAAGAAAAUGUUCUAAUGUCUUCACAUGCCAGCAUUAAACAGAAAAUAAUUCUUCCUUUCUAUGGAGUGUCCAAGGAGUUUAAUGUUUCAGCUCAUUUUCUAAUUUCCUUACAUACCUGCAACAAACAGAAACAAUUACAAGUACUGAGAAUGUAGAGAAUAAGUCAUAUAAAUGGCAAUCUGGAGACAAAGUCCAUAACAGAAACUGUAGAGCAAUAAAGUAAUACAUAGUAUUUAACAGAAACUAUAUAGCAGAAAAAUAAUAUUCAUGGCAACAUGAUACACACCAGAUGGUCAACACAUUUCAUUUCGUGAGUAUAUGUAUAAUUUGAUAAGCUCAAUAGUUUUGGUAGGCCUAUCUUAUUUAAAUGUAUACUGUUCUUCAUGUAUUCACAGCUUUCAAUAUUUUUUUUUUGUUUUUAAUAUUUGUUAAACAUUCAGUUACAUAAAAAAUUGGAAAUAUCGUAUACCUACAUCACAAAGAGUGUUUGGUGAUUUAAUGCAAUGGCAAAAUUAGCACCUACACACAUUAAUUAAAAAAAAAACUACUACUGCUUAUAAAUACAAGUGGUAACAAUAGUUAACAGCACUUAGCUCUUAAUGUUUCUCAGGUAGAUGUAUAGAAUAUAAACGUGUGGUGAUUGUAGUAGUGACUGCAGUUUGCGAUACUGUAUGCUGCAACACUAAGUGAGAUUAAUGGCAGAACAGUAAAUAUUUUUUGUGUAAACUUAAGACAAGCAGCCAGAAAAGUAGGACAGGUGGUUUAUUUUUAUGAUUUUAUAAAAUGUUAUAGUAAUUAAGUAGUAGUGUUUUGUGUUUAUUGUAAUUUUAUAGUUUAUCAGAUUUUUUGCAAACAAGAAAAUAAAAAUUACAAAAUACCUUUUGCUUCCUGAAAUGCUUUGGAAUCAUUUUGUAAGACAGCACUGUGUUACAUCAAGCAGUCUACCAAUAGUUUUAUAGUUUUAACAUUCAUGAUUGCGAUAUCGCAAGCGCCGCCAUGUGCGAGUCCCUGCUUUCAAUAAAAACAAGGGCCUCAUAAUCAGAUUUUGUCACAUAUGGAGUUAUGUGUUUCUUGCUGCAAGUAUUGCUCUCUUGGGUAAUGACUGAAAAACAUAUCAGGAAGUAAAAAAAAAAGUUAUAAUUUUACUCUUCUUACUUUUGUUGAUUAAAACAAACUUAAUAAAAUCUUGUGCAGUUUUAAAAACGAUAAACAACUUAAAGUACCUCAACAUUCUCUUGGGAAAUAUUUUGAUACAUGUCAGGAUGUGAAAAAAAGUUUUUCAGAAUUUUUUUCUUUAUUCAUUUAAAAGCAAAUUUAAAAACAAUACAAUUACUCUGUGCAUUUUAUUUGCUGUUAGGAGAGAGGUGGGUAAUAAUCUUACAUUGUGGCUUUUCCACAAACUAAAAAAAAAUUAGACAAAAACUUUUUUUGACACUAGUCUUAGCCCUGAAUUUAUCCUGAAAACAGACUUUAAAUUUCUACAGGUUAGCAAGUAAUCAAAGUUUAAAGCUUACAUUAUAAAUAUUAUAAUACCUGUGCAUUCACACAUACCUGUACGUUCUUAAAGUACAAACACUGGAAAGAAAAACUUUUGGACGGACAUUCAUAUGCUUCUGUUACAUCAGAUAUAUAUCUUGAGAAAUAAUAAUGAAAUGUAAUAUAUCUUCAGUAUGGUGUUCUAUUAUCCUAGUACAGGUAGGGCUUGUUCUUAAGUAUAGAAUAUGAUACCACAGGUAAAAUAUAUACUGUAGUAGGUAUGUUCUAAAUCUAGAAUAAGCAUGGCCAUAGCAUAAAAUACGUUACCAGAAAGCUAGUUUAAUACACAAACAUAUUUUGUGCAAAACAAGCAUUAGAAUACUCCCCAACUAAAACCCCCAUAUAAUCAUGCUAGUCACAUAAUAAUGCAGAUAUGGUAAUGACAUAAAUGUGCCAUGUUAAUGUCAUCAUUAAUGUGAUAAUGGUAUUGUGAUACAUACUUGUCCCGAAAGUGAAAUUGGUAAAAGUUCCGUAUAACAUAUUCAAAUUCAUCCCUUGAUCCAGAAGGCAUGAUCUUGUAUACAUUGUUCCUGUGGUACAUUUUGCUUGAUGUUUUGAUUUGGUACAUUGAAAGAACAUGGGCAUACUAACUUGUGUUAUUACAAUUUAUAUAUGAAUGUAAAACAGUUACAAAAGAAAUUAUUUCACAACACCUGAGAUAAUUUGUUUGUCUUGUGAUGUUCUGUUCUAGUAUUUGUUAUGUUCAUACUCUUUCGACGUAACAAAUUAAAACAGCAAGCAUCUUGUACCACAAAACCAAGGGAUCAAUUUGGACACGUGAUACGAAAAAAAUUACGCCAACCUAGGCUAAACUUUAAAACCUGUAGAGAGAAAAUAUGAACUAAAUGAUGAUACAUAUCUCUUAAUUUACACGCAAAUCUGAAAGUUAGUUAAAGUUCAGUAUCGCAUAUCCAAGUUUUUCACUUGAUACCGAGGUACAUGAUGCUUGCUGUUUUAAUUUAGUGCGUUGAAAGAUCCUGAACAUAACGAAUACUUGUAAUAUAACAGUGAAUAAUAAUCUUAAGAUUAUUACUAAAUAUGCACUUUCUUUCUAUGAAUUAAACACUUAACCUCACAAUUAUUAUUAAUAAGUGUUUUUGAUAUCCACCAUGGCCGUGCUGUUAUGAAAAUAAAAACAAAGUCACGAAGUUGGCCGAAGGUGAAGUCUUCGGGCAUGUUCGGGUUGGUCCUCAACCCUUUGUGAAAUGUAGGCUUCCCAGCACCUCCCAGCAGAGCACUCCACGCAUUCUAGCGGGCUCUUCGGAAGCAACCCACGCGGUGUACAGAAUAGUUUGUUUUUUGACUCCUGCACAAACCAAUUACCUUUAUCGAACGCAGUAAACGUACGAAUCGACCCUAAACCAUAGCUCUACCAGUUUACAUACAUGAUUUUUUGCAAAUUCAACACUACGAUUUAAUAAGAUCAAUUUAUAAUUCCAUAGAAUAUACAAUAGCCAAGUAAAUAAUAUUUAAUUUAUUAUUUAUUGCACCACAUUAAUUUCUAUCUAUGCUAGGCUCAAGAGAAAGCCCUUAGGAAUUAAAAAAUAGUAAAUAUGUUCGCUAAUUAUACUUUCAUAAAAUUUAUAGCAUAAAUAAUACAUUUAUAUCGCAGUUAAGUACGCAUUUGCGGCUAGAACAAGGUUUAUUCUUUACAUGAAAAAAUUCACAAACACCUUGUGGCCCCCAGGCCACAUUUAUGUAAUUUAUUUAUUUUACUCAUUAUUGAUUUUAUGAAUUAUUUCCUUUUUUAAAUGAUUUCUGUUUCUUAAAUUUUAUUUAGUGUUAUUCUGGUUAAUUAUUUAAUUAUUGUAACCUUUUUCUUUUAUAGUUUUAUUCUGAUUUGGUGUCUUUCUAGUGUUAUUGUUAUUCUAUAUAUACAUAUCGAUUGUAUUUUCAUGGCCGGCUACUGGGAGCGCGGAUGCGAUGCAUCGAUGACGUCAUGAGCGGUCGUGUGCCGGCGGAGGCGAACGAAACUGUGCGCCGCGGUCUGUUGGUUUUUGGGAGUCGCCGCGACUGGACGUGUGUCGCGAGACAGGAGACACGGCUUUUCGACUCUGCACCGGCCAGUCCUCACCGGGGCCUGCUGAGAUGGUGCCUUGCCUGACCGAGAGGCGUCUUCAGCGGCAAGAUAUUCGCAACCUACGCUAAGCUGCUGUCCUGAAACUUCAUAAGGUUAACCAUAUUGAGAUGAAGGAUACAAUCUGCCUGUGGCUGAAACAGAGCGAAACAAGAGUAAUGAAGAGCUGCUGUCCUGAAACUUCAUAAGGUUAACCAUAUUGAGGUGAAGGAUACAAUCUGCCUGUGGCUGAAACAGAGCGAAACAAGAGUAAUGAAGAGCUGCUGUCCUGAAACUUCAUAAGGUUAACCAUAUUGAGGUGAAGGAUACAAUCUGCCUGUGGCUGAAACAGAGCGAAACAAGAGUAAU